GCCGAAGUGGCGGAACUGGCAGACGCACCGGACUCAAAAUCCGGCGGGGCUCACCCCCCGUGAGGGUUCGACUCCCUCCUUCGGCACCA
rnacentral:tRNA from 1 species